ACAAUGGGCGCAAGCCUGAUCCAGCAAUGCCGCGUGUGUGAAGAAGGCCUGAGGGUUGUAAAGCACUUUCAAUUGUGAAGAAGUUAUCGUAGUUAAUACCUGCGGUGAUUGACAUUAGCUUUAGAAGAAGCACCGGCGAACUCUGUGCCAGCAGCCGCGGUAAUACAGAGGGUGCAAGCGUUAAUCGGAAUUACUGGGCGUAAAGCGCGCGUAGGCGGUUUGUUAAGUUGGAUGUGAAAUCCCAGGGCUCAACCUUGGAACUGCAUCCAAAACUGGCAAGCUAGAGUUUGGUAGAGGAGAGUGGAAUUCCCUGUGUAGCAGUGAAAUGCGUAGAUAUAGGGAGGAACAUCAGUGGCGAAGGCGACUCUCUGGACCAAAACUGACGCUGAGGUGCGAAAGCGUGGGUAGCGAACGGGAUUAGAUACCCCGGUAGUCCACGCCGUAAACGAUGAGAACUAGCUGUUGGGACUGUUGUGGUCUUGGUAGCGUAGCUAACGCGUUAAGUUCUCCGCCUGGGGAGUACGGUCGCAAGAUUAAAACUCAAAGGAAUUGACGGGGACCCGCACAAGCGGUGGAGCAUGUGGUUUAAUUCGAUGCAACGCGAAGAACCUUACCAUCCCUUGACAUCCUGUGAACUGAGUAGAGAUAUUCAGGUGCCUUCGGGAGCACAGUGACAGGUGCUGCAUGGCUGUCGUCAGCUCGUGUCNUGAGAUGUUGGGGUUAAGUNCCGCAACGAGCGCAAC
rnacentral:rRNA from 1 species